rnacentral:lncRNA from 1 species
CAUCCUAGUGAUGAUCCUAUGGUCAGGAGCUGUUUAUGUAUUAGUUAUGUAAAUUCAUGCCUUAAAUUUUUAACUCUUGAAAAUAUGAAUUGAUAUUCUUACUAACUCAAAGGAUGUAUCACAGACACAAUGUACACAAUGUGAUAGAAGAAUAACCCAUUUAUUGAUUUAUAGUUAAAAUUAUAAAUUUACCUUUAGAUUUGUAUAGGAAUGUGUCAGCCA